rnacentral:rRNA from 1 species
UACGAAGGGGGCUAGCGUUGCUCGGAAUGACUGGGCGUAAAGGGCGCGUAGGCGGUUUGUACAGUCAGGUGCGAAAUUCCCGGGCUCAACCUGGGGGCUGCACUUGAUACGUAUGGACUGGAGUGGGGAAGAGGGUCGUGGAAUUCCCAGUGUAGAGGUGAAAUUCGUAGAUAUUGGGAAGAACACCGGUGGCGAAGGCGGCGACCUGGUCCUUGACUGACGCUGAGGCGCGAAAGCGUGGGGAGCAAACAGG